AGUGAACGCUGGCGGUAGGCCUAACACAUGCAAGUCGAACGAGUGGCGGACGGGUGAGGAAUACAUCGGAAUCUACUCUGUCGUGGGGGAUAACGUAGGGAAACUUACGCUAAUACCGCAUACGAUUGAAUGAGCCGAUGUCGGAUUAGCUAGUUGGCGGGGUAAAGUCCCACCAAGGCGACGAUCCGUAGCUGGUCUGAGAGGAUGCUCAGCCACACGGGAAGUGAGAAACGGUCCAGACUCCUACGGGAGGCAGCAGUGGGGAAUAUUGGACAAUGGGCGCAAGCCUGAUCCAGCCAGACCGGGUGGGUGAAGAAGGCCUUCGGGUUGUAAAGUACUUUCAGCGGGGAGGCGUUACCCGCAGAAGAAGCACCGGCUACCUCCGUGCCAGCAGCCGCGGUAUUC
rnacentral:rRNA from 1 species